rnacentral:miRNA from 12 species
GGCAGGGCAGGGCAGGGCUGGGCAGGGCAGGGGCAGGGCAGGGCAGGGGCCUUCUGCUGCCACAGCUGCUGCCUG